rnacentral:rRNA from 1 species
AACGAACGCUGGCGGCAGGCUUAACACAUGCAAGUCGAACGCCCCGCAAGGGGAGUGGCAGACGGGUGAGUAACGCGUGGGAAUCUACCCAUCUCUGCGGAAUAGCUCCGGGAAACUGGAAUUAAUACCGCAUACGCCCUACGGGGGAAAGAUUUAUCGGGGAUGGAUGAGCCCGCGUUGGAUUAGCUAGUUGGUGGGGUAAAGGCCUACCAAGGCGACGAUCCAUAGCUGGUCUGAGAGGAUGAUCAGCCACAUUGGGACUGAGACACGGCCCAAGCGCCUACGGGAGGCAGCAGUGGGGAAUAUCGGACAAUGGGCGCAAGCCUGAUCCAGCCAUGCCGCGUGAGUGAUGAAGGCCUUAGGGUUGUAAAGCUCUUUCACCGGUGAAGAUAAUGACGGUAACCGGAGAAGAAGCCCCGGCUAACUUCGUGCCAGCAGCCGCCGUAA